AUUUUGAUAUAAAUAAAUUGGUUCAUAUAUUGUCAAAAAAAUUAGGUACGGUGUUGAAAACAGAAAGCCUACGUGGUUAGAUAUAGUUGAAAUAAAAUGGAUAGACACAUUUAUCCAUUCCAUUAAUUCUCACUUUCUGACCGUCCCCGCCGGUGAUGUCAUCAAAUCCGCGCCGGCGAAUAACAACACCGUCUAAAGCAAAACCACGUUCUUCUUCCCAAUACUUUAUGCUACUUUUUCACUUUCACCAAACACCAUUAAAUCCCUUAUUUAAACCUUUAUUUUAUUUUUUCUUCCAUUUUUCACUAACCUAGAUGAAAUUCAUGUCUCCUAUGUCAACUUUUUCAAUUCAAAAACCUGAAUUUCGUAUUUGCAUUUUCAAUUGCACCAAAAUUACCGCUUCAUGGACUAUGAAUAAUAGGUCUAUGGAUUCGAGAUUUUCGCCAACAGUGAAUAGUAAUAGUGAUAUGAAGAAUAAGAAGAAGAAGGAUGAACUCUCGGUCUCGGUGCAGCUUUCAAUCUCGCCUGUUCCUAAAGUAGAAGAAAGUUUGAACUCCGACGGUCUUCGAUUCGAUCGGUUGCAGCCGUCGGAUUAUGAAUUGAUUCGAGAAAAUAGGUUUGAGUUUGGGCAAUUUGUAGCUAGAGAUGCUGUGCUUGAUGAAGAGUAUUGGACAGCAGCCUGGCUAAGGGCAGAAAGUCAUUGGGAGAAUCGAACAUAUGAAAGAUAUGUUGAUAUCUACAAAAGGAAAUUCGCCGAGCAGGAAUUUAAUGCGGUAAAAAGGCGGUGCAAGGCUCAAAAUGGGGAUAGCUGUGCUUGCAUUAUCGCGGUGAGGAAGGAGCAGAAGAAUGUUAAGCGCUCGAUAAUAAAAAGUGUUGUAGGAACACUUGAUUUAAAUAUCCGGUAUUUGCUGCAAGGAGAGACUUUUCCCGGGGAACGAGUUAAGACACCUUUUUCUUGCAGCACAAACAGGACACCACCAAGUAGAUACGGUUACAUUGCUAACUUAUGUGUUGCCAAAUCGGCUCGCCGACAAGGAAUCGCAAGCAACAUGAUGUUUUUUGCUUUUGAAUCUGCAAAAUCUAAUGGUGUGAGGCAAGUAUAUGUGCAUGUUGACAGAAAUAACAUGCCUGGACAAUUAUUGUACCAAAAGAUGGGCUUUGAGAUGGUAGAAUCUGCCAAUUCCCGAUUGUUAUUAGAGGAAACAUACUUGCUACGUUUACAGAUGUAAAUUACAAAAGAUAGUGACUUAUAAUUCAAUUCAAAGGAGUUGCAUAUUUCAAAGUUCAACUGCUUCAGUUCCUCUGUAAAUCAAAUUCAAGAAAACUUGAUAUCUUCCAUCAUCAUCAAGAACAAUUUCAGCUUUAUCAACAACUCAAUCUCUUCUCGUGGCACCAUUAUUUCUCCUUUGACUGAACAUUUUCAACAGUUCCCAAGCAUCCCCAUUCUGACCAUUCUGCACAAACACAUGCGACCCAAAUCCCUGAACAAUUAUUUGUGCAUGAACUAAGCAACUCAAACCGAAAUCCAACAACUCACAGCAAGCUUUAAGCACACAAGGAAAAGUGAACCUAUCUUGAUGCAAUCUCACCCGUCUAAACAUCUCAAUGACAUUCUUAUACAUAUUACUUGAAUAACUUCUAAUAAUACCAUUCCACAUAAACAAAUUCUGGUUGGGAAAUUCAUCGAACAACUUACUUGCAUAACAAACAUGUCCAAGAUUUGAACCUAUCAUGUUGCAAUCCAGAGAAAACUAGUCGGUUAUGUAUCUAAUAGAAAGAAGUAUAAUAUUUGUUGAAUUAUCAAAAGAGUCAAGCUAAUUUUGGGUCAGUACAACUUGACCCGUUGCAGAGGGUCUCGGGACUAGUUGAUAGGACUUAAAAAUUAUAAUUUAAAUUGAAUAUGUAUAUAUAUUAUUGGG